AGCAGACGAGUUCCAGCAGCACCGUCGGAGGAACAGAAAAAGAAAAGAGCAUUAUUUCCAAAGCAGGAUCUCCAACCGAUUCGCCAACACCUCCACCAGCACCAGCAGACACGACGGCGGAAGCUGGAACUAAUGCAUCUCCGGACAAAUCAGAAGAGCCAACAAUGGCGUCCUCGUCAGCGGUGGCUUUAACUGGAAGUGUUGCUGCCACAUCGACAACAACAACAACCACAGCUAAAACCAGAACCUCAACCGCGACCACAACAACCACCACAACAACAACCACCACCACAACAACCACCAUCACCACCACCACGAAAACAACAACCACCACCACCUCCACAACAACAACAACAACAACGCCAACACCAUGCAGUUUGUCUUGCUCAAACUUCAACACAUUUCUUAAGGACACUCCCACAUCAAAACCGAGACCAA